GAUUAACGCUGGCGGCGUGCCUAACACAUGCAAGUCGAACGAGGUAGCAAUACCUAGUGGCAGACGGGUGAGUAACGCGUGGUCAACCUACCGUUGAGUGGGGGAUAACUAGCCGAAAGGUUAGCUAAUACCGCAUACGUCUCCGAGGGGCAUCCCUUGGCGAUAAAAGGAGCAAUCCGCUCGAUGACGGGACCGCGUCCCAUUAGCUAGAUGGUGGGGUAACGGCCUACCAUGGCACCGAUGGGUAGCUGGUUUGAGAGAGCGACCAGCCACACUGGGACUGAGAAACGGCCCAGACUCCUACGGGAGGCAGCAGUGAGGAAUUUUCCGCAAUGGGCGCAAGCCUGACGGAGCGACGCCGCGUGUGGGAAGAAGGCCUUC
rnacentral:rRNA from 1 species